UGUAACUUACAGGGGUGGCCAACAAGGUCUGAGAUUAUACCCUUUGAACCUGAUCCGGAUAAUGCCGGCGUAGGGAGAGAAUAAAAGGUGUAU
rnacentral:ncRNA from 2 species